rnacentral:rRNA from 1 species
AUGAACUAGCUAACUGAAAUCAAAGGUGUGUCACCUUUGAUAAGGUAAGGGAAAAGAAAUGAUACUACCUUACUAUUAGUGUCGUCCAAGUACUCGUGCCAGAAACUCGGUAAGGCGAGAGACGCAAACGUUAGUCGUCUUGAUCAGGCGUAAAGGGUUUGUAGGCGGCUUUAAGAAUGGAUUUCUUCUAAAUAACACUUUUAAAAAAGAACAAAGAAGAAAAAAAUCAAUUAAAGCUAGAAUCAAAAAGAGGUCAAAUUAAAUAAUACUUGGUGUAAGAUUGGUAUCUUUAAAAACCAAGCGGAAUACUAACGGCGAAGGCUUUUUUCCAAUAAUGAUUGACGCUGAGAAACUAAGGUGAGGACAGAAAAAAGGAUUAGAGACCCUCGUAUUCCUCACUGUCAACGAUGAAUGGUAGUUACUAGAAAGAAAUAUAAAAUAAAUAUUUAAAUAAUUCUAGAGACGAUGUUAACACGUAAACCAUUCCGCCUUGUGAGUACGACUGCAAAGUUGAAAACAAAAAAAUUAGUCGGUUUCGGAGCAAACGA